rnacentral:rRNA from 1 species
AAUAGAUACCCCGGUAGUCCUGGCCCUAAACGAUGAAUGCUUGGUGUGGCGGGUAUCGAUCCCUGCCGUGCCGAAGUUAACGCGAUAAGCAUUCCGCCUGGGGAGUACGGUCGCAAGGCUGAAACUCGAAAGGAAUUGACGGGGGCCCGCACAAGCGGUGGAGCAUGUGGUUCAAUUCGACGCAACGCGAAGAACCUUACCUGGGCUCGAAAUGCAGAUGGCCAUCGGCGAAAGUCGACUUCCGCAAGGACGUCUGUAUAGGUGCUGCAUGGCUGUCGUCAGCUCGUGUCGUGAGAUGUUGGGUUAAGUCCCGCAACGAGCGCAACCCUUGUUCUCUGUUGCCAUCAGGUCAAGCUGGGCACUCUGAGGAGACUGCCGGUGACAAACCGGAGGAAGGUGGGGAUGACGUCAAGUCAGCAUGGCCUUUAUGUCCAGGGCUACACACGUGCUACAAUGGCCGGUACAAAGCGCUGCAAGCCCGCGAGGGUGAGCCAAUCGCAUAAAGCCGGUCUCG